rnacentral:rRNA from 1 species
UACGUAGGUCCCGAGCGUUGUCCGGAUUUAUUGGGCGUAAAGCGAGCGCAGGUGGUUUAUUAAGUCUGGUGUAAAAGGCGGUGGCUCAACCAUUGUAUGCAUUGGAAACUGGUAGGCUUGAGUGCAGGAGAGGAGAGUGGAAUUCCAUGUGUAGCAGUGAAAUGCGUAGAUAUAUGGAGGAACACCGGUGGCGAAAGCGGCUCUCUGGCCUGUAACUGACACUGAGGCUCGAAAGCGUGGGGAGCAAACAGG